rnacentral:rRNA from 1 species
GAACCGUGCGAACGUUGUUCGGAAUCACUGGGCUUAAAGGGCGCGUAGGCGGACAUUCAAGUCAGGGGUGAAAUCCCCCAGCUCAACUGGGGAACUGCCUUUGAUACUGGGUGUCUCGAGUAAGGUAGGGGCAUGCGGAACUGAUGGUGGAGCGGUGAAAUGUGUUGAUAUCAUCAGGAACUCCGGUGGCGAAGGCGGCAUGCUGGACCUUCACUGACGCUGAGGCGCGAAAGCUAGGGGAGCGAACGGGAUUAGAUACCCCGGUAGUCCUAGCCCUAAACGAUGAGUACUAGGUUGUAGCCUUGACAUGGGGUUACAGCCGGAGCAAAAGUGCUAAGUACUCCGCCUGGGGAGUAUGGUCGCAAGGCUGAA